CUGGAGAGAAGGCAGGAAAAAGAGUGUGAGCAAAAUGUAUGUUUUUCCAAGGCAAUCCUGGAGCCUUCAGAGCAGGAGAUGUUUGCCCACUCGACGUGGAUGGAAGCCCCUUCUGGCAAGCCCUCCAGGAGCCCGUGGGCAGGAGCUGUGUCCUGACUUCUCUGCAAUACCUGAAAAAGCUUGGGUUUUGUUAUGGGCAGCUCAGCAGACAGCAGUGAGACUCAGUGCCUGAGGCAAGUUGCUGCUUUUAAAUUCUCU